ensembl:lncRNA
CCGGUCAGCCCUGAGAGCACAGGUGAAGGCAAUUCAACUGUGUGAGUGGGAGGGAUGGAGCCUGGCUCCACCUCUCUUAGACCCCAUUUAAGGGCUGACUGCCACUGUGGAAGGAUCUCUGGUUGGAGAUCCUUCUCUUGUAGAGUCUUUCCUGUGAGCCUUGAUCUUCAGAGAUGGGUGGCCAGAAGGGGUGGACCCAGGAUUGAGCCACCCUGGACUCAUAUAAGGGCCAGCCACUGAAGAGAGAGCUUCUCUAGGCUGCUUGCUGUGAAGGAGUGCUGUAUAGCCAGCGGGCCUCUUCAUCAGUUAGACCCCUGAGGUAUACUGGGAUCUUCAUAGAAGACACAAACCUUGAUAAAUAGCAAGUGAUUAUCAUCUCAAGCUCUGGUCCCACAAUUUGCUAUAGGAGCAGUACUUCCAUCUGUGCUGAGUCUUAUCUGCUUCAAGGUCUCAGUCACAUAAAGAGCUCUCUGCAGGAGGAUGCCGGGCUUCAAUAGUUCCUUGUUCUGAGAUAGAUCCCUAUCUUGGAAGAGCUGCUUCUGUGCAAAGGGCCUGUGAUUGAGCUACGACACAACUAGCAAACGUUCUGCAAAGGGACAUGGGAGUUACUGUGGGGCAGUGGGCUUGUGUGUGCUCUGUUAGUUGUUUGUGCAUCUUCCUGUUCUGCAAAAAAGCAACAGAGGAGUUCUUUGUCACAAUAAGCUUGAGUUCCAUUUUUUUGAAGAAAUAUUGUGUACUGUAUGUAAUGAGGACCCAUGUAAUCAGGACACCUGCGUUCCUAGUAUGUUGCCUGGGGAACCAAUUUAGCCUAAUGACAGUGAAUGACAUUUACUGCUGCUUAGACUACUGCUUAAUUUAAACAAUAGUGCAUUAGCAAUAUUUAACUUAAUGGGGAUGUAUUGGGCUUAUGCCAGUGGGUUAAGUAAUGUUUAACUAGGUGUUAAAUAGGUAAUAAUAGAAUAAUACUUUGACUUGUAUAGCGCCAAUACAUUCUACCUGAGAAUCUGCAAGUGUUACAGCAUUGUACCUUACCCUGUCCCUUGUGAAAGAGGGAAUAAUUUUGCACUUCUUCUAGAGAUGUGCAGAGCAGCUGAAUCUGUUCAGUUGUCUUCAGUUUAACAUCUAGAUGGAAAUAAACUGAUACUACCUGUGCUGUGAGUGGACUUAAACUUCUGCAGCAUCGCUCCUUCUGAGAUAUAAAUUCCCAGGUUAAGAAAGAAAAGAAAUCCUAAUGUUGAAAUUGAAAUUAGAAGCACACCCCUUUAAGAAAGAGAGAAAGAGAUGAGAUCUCAAGACGCGUUGUAAGCCUCUGGCUCAUGGGUGUUUGAAAAGUGAAUGCUGGCAUAACUCUUAGAACAGCAAAGGCAGUUACUCAACUAACACUGGGACAACGUGUGAGCGCUUUGAUACAUACUGACACAAAUGACAGGACAAAGAAGCAUGCGUGGAAAUAAAAUGAAAAUUCAGAACAGAUGUCAGGACAUGUUUUUCAUGCUGAAUGUGCAGAGCGGUCAACCAGUGCAACUCUCCACAAUACAGAGUGAGACUUUCGUGUCUGUGUGUGUUCCUGGCAUGUCCAACACGGCUACUGAUUUCAAGAGGAGCUCAAGGAAUGUGCAGAAUGGAUUAAUGAGAAUAUUCAAUGAGAAUCAGAACAUCCUGGCAUUCACUUCUGUGAAAACUCAUUCUUGUGUCAAAGACUGUAAUGAGGACUGAAGGAAGCACACAAUUAAUUCACAGCAACCUUGAGACUGUAGUGAGAACAGAAAACGUACAUUCCAGAUCGAUGACCAAGAUCAUGAUAAUGGGCUUUUGUCACCUCACCUUUCCAGAUGUUUCUUAAGAACUAAGCAGUUACUUAUCAAGUUGAUUUCUCCCACCUCUCCCAGUUUUCAACAGCUGAAGAAGGCAUGUAGUGUUAGAGAGUCUUACGGUGUGGGAAACUGUCUUUUGACCAGCAAUUCAACACUAUGGAAAAGGAGCUUUACAAAAAUCUAUACCUUAACAAAGGCCUAGCGUGCAAAUGUAACAACCUUUGAAAUUUGGACCCCAGUCCUUGCAGGAAUAAUUCUAUACCACAGCCCUCCAAGACCUUUGAAAACUGAUAGCUCCUUGGUAAUGGUAAAACAGAAAUGGUAAGUACAUUUUGACACGACCUCCUUUUAUUUGUUUCAUCUACAUUUUAAGAAUAAAAAUAAAACAUUGCUUCCCUCACCCCAUUUGUUUUUUUUUUAAACUCUGAAGUACGAUACACAGAUUGUCUAGCAAGUAAGGUUUUGUACACACUUGCAUGCAUGCAUUAAACUGAUACAUUUAAUUAAUGAAGACACCUUAGGGCUCAAGCCUCAUUUUGCAAUUACAGUAUAAAAAAUUAAGUGCGCGUAUAACGUUUGUGAAUUUUCACCACUGAAAUCUUUGAAAAGAACACAUAAAACAUCAGCUGCAUUCCUACUUAAAACAUUAUUCUGAAUAUUACUGUGAUAAUACACUGUCUUAGCAGCACGGCUUUGGCAAACAGAGAAGCUAUAUGCCUUCCUUUUCCUCUGAAGUGUGUAGACCAAACUUCUCAUUGCUUUCCUUGCAAUGCAUACAUGGGAAGCUGACAGGCACUUUGGACAACUUAUCACAACACUAUGUGGCAUAAAUGUGAUGCAGCGUUUCAUAAAUUUGAUGAAGUACUUCCAAAACAACUGUUGACUUUUAAAGGCAUCCAACUUCCCUGAAAGUGGGAUAUUUACUGUAAGUGUCUUGCCUGUUGAACUAAAGGACCAGAAUUGACUCUUGCACAGUAGGUUUCUUAUAAUUACUCACAAUGGGAGACUCCACUCACAACCAACUCUGGGAGGCAUUUCUUAGUCUGUGAUUUCUAACAUUCUUCACUUCUUCACCUCACGGUAUGAACAGACUGCUUUAUAUUACUGACAAUUUGUGUUUUCCCUCUAACACCCACCUAUGUAACAUCUAUGUUGAGCAUUUACAUUUACACUAAUAGCCCCUGAGAAUCAAUUACCAUAAGAAGAUCUGUUCUUUUACACUUCAACCAAUGAAUCAGUCAUAGGUUAAAACAAGAGAAGGUAAAAAGCCAGCAUGCCUGUACUGAUUUUUCAGAAACACUUUACUAUAAAAAUUCUCUGGAUACAGGUUUUUCUUUUUCUUUCUUUUUUUUUUCCUGUUGUGUAUACAUUCAAUAUGACUUUACCUGCUUUCAAAUAUGCUUUCAUAAAUGGAUUGAGCAAAGAAGCACUCAGGAUUAACUGCACGUUUUAUACGCUCCGGCACUGUUUAGUAUCCUCAUACACUAGAAUGCAGUCUGUUUGAUUGGCACACCCUUGUGGAAGCAGCUGUGAUAGCAAGCCAAUGCCCGGCUGAAAGUGAAGGCAGGCCAGAGCUGUCUUUGGAAAGAUGGUGCUCUGGGUGAUGCAGAAAUAAUCUCUGGACAUCCCCAAAACCUACAGUUACUGCCAACCUUCAGGAAGAGUUCUGUCAGGGAGGCUUUGUCCCCCUUCGCAGGCAGUGAUUUUAGGGUCCUGGUGAAUACCCCUUCUUCUUUCUAAAAACCUUUCAUUGAUACAGUCCUUCAAAAUCCUUUCUACUCCUUUCCAAAGCUUCUGAGGAACUGUGGAGCUGCCACCUGUGCAGAACCUGAUGUCCUUCCCAAUUUGUCACAAUCCAAGGAGAAAUGAUAAAGUAGUGGCUUAAAU